CACGUAGGCGGUGAAUCGGGUUGAAAGUGAAAGUCGCCAAAAAGUGGCGGAAUGCUCUCGAAACCAAUUCACUUGAGUGAGACAGAGGAGAGUGGAAUUUCGUGUGUAGGGGUGAAAUCCGUAGAUCUACGAAGGAACGCCAAAAGCGAAGGCAGCUCUCUGGGUCCCUACCGACGCUGGGGUGCGAAAGCAUGGAGAGCGAACA
rnacentral:rRNA from 1 species